AAUCACCCCCAAUGGAAAUUGAACCCGGUUCCAGAUUUCUUAGGGGAGCCACCAAUGGGGAAUUUUUGCACAAUGGGGCCCAAACUUAGAUGCAACCCAUGCCCGGUUGUAUGAAGAAGGCCUUUGGGGUUAAAAAGUUAUUUUCAGUUUGUAAGGAAGGGGGGUAGGUUUAAAAAGCGUUAUUUUCUGGACGUUAGCAACAAGAAGAAGCACCGGGCUAACUCCCGUCCCAGCAGCCGCGGUAAUACGGAGGGUGCGAGCGUUAAUCGGAAUUACUGGGCGUAAAGCGCAUGCAGGUGGUUCAUUAAGUCAGAUGUGAAAGCCCGGGGCUCAACCUCGGAACUGCAUUUGAAACUGGUGAACUAGAGUACUGUAGAGGGGGGUAGAAUUUCAGGUGUAGCGGUGAAAUGCGUAGAGAUCUGAAGGAAUACCAGUGGCGAAGGCGGCCCCCUGGACAGAUACUGACACUCAGAUGCGAAAGCGUGGGGAGCAAACAGGAUUAGAUACCCUGGUAGUCCACGCCGUAAACGAUGUCUACUUGGAGGUUGUGGCCUUGAGCCGUGGCUUUCGGAGCUAACGCGUUAAGUAGACCGCCUGGGGAGUACGGUCGCAAGAUUAAAACUCAAAUGAAUUGACGGGGGCCCGCACAAGCGGUGGAGCAUGUGGUUUAAUUCGAUGCAACGCGAAGAACCUUACCUACUCUUGACAUCCAGAGAAUCCAGCGGAGACGCAGGAGUGCCUUCGGGAGCUCUGAGACAGGUGCUGCAUGGCUGUCGUCAGCUCGUGUUGUGAAAUGUUGGGUUAAGUCCCGCAACGAGCGCAACCCUUAUCCUUGUUUGCCAGCGAGUCAUGUCGGGAACUCCAGGGAGACUGCCGGUGAUAAACCGGAGGAAGGUGGGGACGACGUCAAGUCAUCAUGGCCCUUACGAGUAGGGCUACACACGUGCUACAAUGGCGCAUACAGAGGGCAGCGAGCCAGCGAUGGUAAGCGAAUCCCAAAAAGUGCGUCGUAGUCCGGAUUGGAGUCUGCAACUCGACUCCAUGAAGUCGGAAUCGCUAGUAAUCGUGAAUCAGAAUGUCACGGUGAAUACGUUCCCGGGCCUUGUACACACCGCCCGUCACACCAUGGGAGUGGGCUGCAAAAGAAGUAGGUAGUCUAACCUUCGGGAGGACGCUUACCACUUUGUGGUUCAUGACUGGGGUGAAGUCGUAACAAGGUAACCGUA
rnacentral:rRNA from 1 species